rnacentral:rRNA from 1 species
GAUGAACGCUGGCGGCGUGCCUAAUACAUGCAAGUCGAGCGAACGGACGAGAAGCUUGCUUCUCUGAUGUUAGCGGCGGACGGGUGAGUAACACGUGGAUAACCUACCUAUAAGACUGGGAUAACUUCGGGAAACCGGAGCUAAUACCGGAUAAUAUUUUGAACCGCAUGGUUCAAAAGUGAAAAACGGUCUUGCUGUCACUUAUAGAUGGAUCCGCGCUGCAUUAGCUAGUUGGUAAGGUAACGGCUUACCAAGGCAACGAUGCAUAGCCGACCUGAGAGGGUGAUCGGCCACACUGGAACUGAGACACGGUCCAGACUCCUACGGGAGGCAGCAGUAGGGAAUCUUCCGCAAUGGGCGAAAGCCUGACGGAGCAACGCCGCGUGAGUGAUGAAGGUCUUCGGAUCGUAAAACUCUGUUAUUAGGGAAGAACAUAUGUGUAAGUAACUGUGCACAUCUUGACGGUACCUAAUCAGAAAGCCACGGCUAACUACGUGCCAGCAGCCGCGGUAAUACGUAGGUGGCAAGCGUUAUCCGGAAUUAUUGGGCGUAAAGCGCGCGUAGGCGGUUUUUUAAGUCUGAUGUGAAAGCCCACGGCUCAACCGUGGAGGGUCAUUGGAAACUGGAAAACUUGAGUGCAGAAGAGGAAAGUGGAAUUCCAUGUGUAGCGGUGAAAUGCGCAGAGAUAUGGAGGAACACCAGUGGCGAAGGCGACUUUCUGGUCUGUAACUGACGCUGAUGUGCGAAAGCGUGGGGAUCAAACAGG